UCACACACUCUGUAAGUCUAAUUUAUGCAAAUUAUGGUACCACCCACUUAGUAAAGGACUGUGGCUAAUCUGCAUAUGCACAUUAGCUCUUGUUAGCGGAUUAAAAAGCUUUAAAACAAAGAGGAAGUAGGAAAAGAACUACAUUUCCCAUCUGCCCUGGCUGUCACAGGCUAAUAGCACCAGCUGCUUUCCAUUACCCUAAUGAGUGAUUCUACUGCUGCAACGAGACCAAAUACAACGAAAGUAUUGAUGCUGCAAAAGAAGACGGAUCUUUUGGUAGGCUGGUUAAUGAUGACCACAGGCACCCAAAUGGCAGAAUGCAGAAGACUGAAGUGGAUGGAAGCCCACAUCUUGGUCUGUUUGCUUUAACAGACUUUAAAGAAGGAGAUGAAAUUACCUGCAAUUACGGAGGAGGAGUCUGGCCUUGGUGUAAUAGGACGUUAUUUAAAAGCUCAUACAGCUGAUGUGAUUUUUAUUUAGUAGUUAAUUUAACAUGCUAUGCUAACAUGUAAACAAUAAGAUAAUAUUACCUGACGUACAUUUUACACUCAAUAUUGUCUGUUUCUGUUCUAUUUCACCAACAAAAAUAUUUCCAAACAAAGCCACAGCAGGUCCUGCUCCUUUUUCCUCCUAAUUCCCUCAUUUCUCCACGUUGGGAUUAAUAAAGUAUUAUCGUAUCUCA